rnacentral:rRNA from 1 species
UGGGGAAUAUUGCACAAUGGGGGAAACCCUGAUGCAGCGACGCCGCGUGAGCGAAGAAGGUUUUCGAAUCGUAAAGCUCUGUCCUAUGAGAAGAUAAUGACGGUAUCAUAGGAGGAAGCCCCGGCUAAAUACGUGCCAGCAGCCGCGGUAAUACGUAUGGGGCGAGCGUUGUCCGGAAUUAUUGGGCGUAAAGGGUACGUAGGCGGUCUAUUAAGUCAGGUGUGAAAGCGUGAGGCUUAACCUCAUUAAGCACUUGAAACUGAUAGACUUGAGUGAAGGAGAGGAAAGUGGAAUUCCUAGUGUAGCGGUGAAAUGCGUAGAUAUCAGAAGGAAUACCGGUGGCGAAGGCGACUUUCUGGACUAUUACUGACGCUCAGGUACGAAAGCGUGGGGAGCAAACAGG